rnacentral:rRNA from 1 species
CCUACGGGCGGCUGCAGUGAGGAAUAUUGGUCAAUGGACGAGAGCCUGAACCAGCCAAGUAGCGUGAAGGAUGACUGCCCUACGGGUUGUAAACUUCUUUUAUAGAGGAAUAAAAUGUGCCACGUGUGGCUUUUUGUAUGUACUUUAUGAAUAAGGAUCGGCUAACUCCGUGCCAGCAGCCGCGGUAAUACGGAGGAUCCGAGCGUUAUCCGGAUUUAUUGGGUUUAAAGGGAGCGUAGAUGGGUUGUUAAGUCAGUUGUGAAAGUUUGCGGCUCAACCGUAAAAUUGCAAUUGAUACUGGCAGUCUUGAGUACAGUUGAGGUAGGCGGAAUUCGUGGUGUAGCGGUGAAAUGCUUAGAUAGCACGAAGAACUCCGAUUGCGAAGGCAGCCCACUAAACUGCCACUGACACUGAGGCUCGAAAGUGUGGGUAUCAAACAGGAUUAGAUACCCUAGUAGUC